rnacentral:misc_RNA from 1 species
GUGAAGAACGUAGCGAAAUGCGAUAAGUAGUGUGAAUUGCAGAAUUCAGUGAAUCAUCGAAUCUUUGAACGCACAUUGCGCCCUUUGGUAUUCCUUAGGGCAUGCCUGUUCGAGCGUCAUUUAAACCUUCAAGCUAAGCUUGGUGUUGGGUGACUGUCCGCUUCACGGCGGACUCGCCUCAAAAUUAUUGGCGGCCGGUACAUUGGCUUCGAGCGCAGCAGAAACGCGAACUCGGGCCCGUCGUAUUGGCUCCCAGAAGCUAUCUUCACAAUUUUGACCUCGGAUCAGGUAGGGAUACCCGCUGAACUUAAGCAUAUCAAUAAGCGGAGGA